rnacentral:rRNA from 1 species
UACAGAGGUCUCAAGCGUUUGUUCGGAUUCAUUGGGCGUAAAGGGUGCGUAGGCGGCGCGGUAAGUCGGGUGUGAAAUCUUGGAGCUUAACUCCGAAACUGCAUUCGAUACUACCGUGCUUGAGGACUGGAGAGGAGACUGGAAUUUACGGUGUAGCGGUGAAAUGCGUAGAUAUCGUAAGGAAGACCAGUGGCGAAGGCGGGUCUCUGGACAGUUCCUGACGCUGAGACGCGAAAGCGUGGGGGAGCAAACAGG